GCUGUGGUGGUGUAAUGGUCAGCAUACCUGCCUAGUAAGUACGAAGUCCCGGGUUCGAGUCCCGGCCGCGGCA